CUCAGAUUAGGGAACUUCUCAGCAAUAGUUUGUUCAAAUAAAACUUCUGCCCCUUUUUCCCACUCUUCUUCUUGUGGGACUCCUAUGAUAUGGAUAUCAUUUCAUUUCAUGGAAUCACCUAAUUCUCUAAUUCUCCCCUUGUGACCUAAUAAUUUCCAUUCCCUCUUUUUUCAGCUUCAUUAUUUUCCAUAAUUGUAUCUUCCAUAUCACCUGUUCUGUCUUUUGCUUCUUCAAUCCUCAUCGUCGCUUUAUUCAGUUUGUUUUGCAUCUCAGUUUUAGCAAUUUUUAUUUCUUCCUGACUAGAUGUUAGGUCUUUGAUAUCUGCAACAAGUGACUGUCUGGUGCCCUCUAUGUUUUUUUCAAGCCAAGCUAGCAGUCUUAUGACUGUUGUUCUAAAUUACUGUUCAGAUUUGGGGCACCUUGGUGGCUCAGUCGGUUAAGUGUCCAACUUCAGCUCAUGUCAUGAUCUUGUGGUUCAUGGGUUCAAGCCCCACGUCAGGCUCUGUGCUGACAGCUCAGAGCCUGGAGCCUGCUUUGAAUUCUAUGUCUUCCUCUCUCUCUGUGCCUCCCACACUAACACUCUUUCUCUUUCUCUCUCAAAAAUAAACAUUAAUUGUUUAAUAAAUAAAAUAAAUAAAUUAUUAUUCAGAUUUAUCACUUACAUCUGUUUUGAGCAAGUCCCUGGAUGUGUUUUUUUCUUGACCUUUCUUUUGGGGGAGAAUUUCUCUGUCUUGUCAUUUUUUAUAAAUUUCUGUGUCUGCAUGUUUUUAAUGCUUGUUAUAUUUCCUGCACCUAAGAGCACUGUUAUAUUAAAAAUGGCUUAUACACUGUCCAGUGUCUGUCAGUUCAGGAAGUGUUUCUGGUGCAUGAUGUGUGCGCUCUGCUGAUGUGUUUUAGCUGCUCUUCCCGACUGGUCAGUCCUCUGCAGAUAUCCUCCUUGCUUGCAGUGGUUGGGUUCAACACCCCAAUCUGGGACCCAGCAAGGCAUGGGACCCAGAAAGACAUGGACCCACUCUACCCUCCAGAGGAGAUCCCUACAGCACUGUGCUUGGCACUGUUCUGUCUCAGAAAAUCCAUUGCAUGGCCACACAGGUACCUGGAGCUUAUGGUGAAACACAGUAAAAAGCUGCAGCCACUUUAUCUGCCCUCUGCACACACCUGUGUACCCUGUGGUUGAAUGGUCACUUAAAGGCACCAGCAAAGUCUUUUGUCCUUGGAGAGGCAUUAUACCCUCUUUCAAAUGCUCUCCAAGAAGGGUAACUUUCUCCCCCAGUUCAACCAAAGGGAUCCCCACACCACACUGUCUGAUAUCCACUCCUGGGCUUCCCCUUUAUUCUCCUCAGGAAAACCACAACCAGCCUGGAUACACUCCAGCAAAUGGUGCAGACUUUGAAGAACUCAGAAAUUGAGUUCCACUGUUUAUAAAAGCUUGUAAUAGUCAGUUUUUCACUAUUCCCCCAUCAAUGGUUUUGAGGGAGUGCUUUUCUUGUGAAAACUCAAUGCAUUGCUCUCUCUCACUGUUUCCUUCUCCUCUCUGCAAAAAUGGCUCCUACCCUUCUGUAGCACCACACCUUUUCUCUUCCCCAAUUCCCUUCUCUGCACCAUAUACCUGCCACAUUGUCUCCCUAAAAUUGUACAGAAUGUUCUCUUAAUCCUCAAAUCAAUUUUUUAGGUGUCCAAUGUGAUUUGAUGUUGAUCUAGCUCUGUUCAAGUGAUGAGACUAGAUUUCGGUCCCCCUACUACACCACCAUCUUCUGCACUGUGAUUUUGUUAAUGUGAACCAAAACCUUGGUUUCAUAUGAAUAAAAAGUAUCUCCUUCCUCUUGAGAUGUGACAAGGAACAAAGUAUUGGGAAUAAUUCUGCCAUCUCAUCCUCAAGAACCAGUAGGAAUUCUACCACCAGAAUAACAUGACAACUCUUUGAGUGCUUGGCUGGCAGUAUCCAUAUAUUCAUAGUAACCAGACCCUGGAAAACCAGCAUGUGAGGAGAGAGACCAGUGGUUAUGCCUACCCUUGAGCCAUUCACACAUUUUUCUUACAUGCCAAAAUCUUCAGAGUGAGGAGCAGUUGAUUGACAUCAACUAGAUUUAGAGGUGAUACUGGAAUUGGAUGGAAUUCCUAUUACUGCUCCAAUGAACUACUGAUUUUGUUACUUGUUACCAGCUCACUUCUAUGGGAAUAAUCAGAACAGUGCACUCCAGAGAUCAACAUGGACUAAGAACUCAGUUUCAUAUAAAAUCUUUUAUUUCUUCCCCUUGAGACAUGAAAUGAAAGAAAGUGUUAGGAAAAUUUCUUCCUCCCAUCCUCAAGCGUCAGUGGGAAUUUUCUUGCUGGUAAGCAUUUUUCCCCAAUGAUACUGGCAUUCCUCCCAGUGAAUUAUAACACUCUAAUGAUAAGAAUUUGGCUAAGUUAGUUAGUCAUGAGGCUGGGUCCUUGACAGUAGUGGCUAGUCUCCAUAAUUGAAUAGUAUGAUUCAGUGUGUCCUAGUGAGACAAUCCUAAUUUCUUAAUGUCUGCCUUUUUAUAUCAGGAUCAAAAUUCCUUUUGCAAAUGUGCUUGGAUCAGUGAUGACUUCAAAAAUGGGUCUUGUUGACAUUGGAAGAAAAUGAAUGACAAAAUCACUUCUGUGAGCUGAGGUCCAGCACAGGGACCAUAAUGCUAGACAAAAAAAAAAAAAAAUGUGGAGGAGAAUUCAAUUUGGUCAGGACAUAGUACCAAAUAAAAAAGACUAUAGCAUUGGAAAACUAGCAUGCUGAUGAAUGCUAGAGGAAAUGAAUUGUACAGAGGCAAUAAAUAACCAUUAUGGAAUGACAUGGCAACUCUGAGUGCUUGACUGGUAGCCUUCAUAAGCCCACAGUAAACAGACUGUGGAGAACCAGCACAUGAGUAGUGAACACUGUGAGAAAUAGUUGUGCCUACACAUGAGCUAUUUACACCAUUUCUUUAGUCAUAGUCAUUUGUGAGAAUCAACAUGUUUAGGUCUUAUUAGAUAGUCAAUUAGAAAUUAUUCAUUUUUUCUACUCAUUUAUCUCUUAAAUAGAAUAAUUAUGGGAAAAUCGAAGAAUAGAUUAUAUUUAUUGGAUGAUCUUAUAUGUUUUAAUUUGCCUGCUAGCCCAGUUGCAGGGAUUAGAACUUUUUUUUUCUUUUUCUUGUCACUCAGGAAGAAAUUUUCUAGAUAUUUCAUGAUGGAUUAAACUAGGUAUUUCAUUAAACGUUUUAACAUUAAAUUAUUAAAUUUCUAAUUAUUGAAGUUUUAUGUUGAUAUAAUUGGCUAAUGUUUAUAUUCCAUCAAUGGGUUUAUAUGCAUAAAGAUAAGUUAUAAUUGUAGUGAGUAAUGCUGGGGGUGCUCUGGGUCUAAUACCUUGAGACCGAUGUAUUAGAAAUUUGACUUUCUCUACCACCUUUUUCUGAGUAAAAGCAUAAUUUUUCUAGUUAUGUAGUCAAGGGAAUAUAUGGUUAAUUCCUUAACUACCUCUCAUCAGUAACCAUUCAACUGGAAAGGUUAUUUCACAACUUUUUAAAUUUCCUCUGUGCUUUUGUAGAAUGGAAUAAUUUUAUGAAUGUCAUAGAAUACUCACUAUUGUAGCAAAGAAGUGCUGAUUUUGUCAUUUUUAUCUGUUCCUUUUCUCUGGAAUGGAACAAACCAAUGCACUCCAAGGGUUAUAAUCAAUUUUAAAUAAAUACUUUUAUGGCUUUUUAAGUAAAAUACUUAUCUGUAAUUAAGUAGAUAAUUGGUUUUGUGAAGUAGCUGUUAAUCCAAUGUGACUUCUUAAUUAUCAGUGAGCCAUCCAAUAUUUUGUCUCUUUUAUUUCCAAGAUUUUUAUGACUUCUCUUUUUGAAUAACAACAGAAACAUCCUAGUUAAAUAACAUGAGUUCUUUUGAUAUGAAGGUGUAUUAUAAUCCUUUCUGUGUUAUGAAUGUUUGACAAAAGGAUGUGUAUACACAUCUUUCCAUAUUUUUACUCUGUUUCCACAGGUUGACAAGAACACUAGCUGGAUCUCAUAUGAGUUUAUUCCCUUUUCUUGAAAGAAUUCCAACAGGAAUUCUAACAUUAGUAUUUUGUCCUGAAAAUACUGGAAUUCCUCUUAGGACAUUCUAACAUUCAUAUGACAGUAAAACUCUGUACUAAUCAGUUGUGAGAUUGAGUCAUUGACUGUGAUGACCAGUCUCCAUGAUUAAAUGGUAUAGUUGUGUCCCAGGGAGACGGAAUCUGGAGUACUCAGUGUCUACCACAUAUCUUAGGAUCAACGUCCCUUUUAUAAAUGUGGAAUCUGAACAAAAUGAGUGACAAAAUCACUUCUGUGAGUUGAAGUCUGCUGAAGGAUCCUGUAAGGCAAAUACAUAUAUUUGUCAGGUAGUAGUACAAGCCAGGUCUGUGGUAUUUGAAACCUAAGCUGAUUGAAUUGUACAGAGAUCUAUAAAUAUCUAAUUUAGGAAUGACAUGGUACUCUGUGAAUGCUUGGCUGGCAGCAACCAUAGACUCAUGAUAAUCAGACACUGGGGGACCAGCACAUGAGUACUGAGACCAAUGAGUUAUGUUUUUGUCUACCCUGAAGCCAUUCACCUGAUUUCUUUAUAUGCUGCAAUCUUGUAAGGCAUAGUCCAUUGAGGUAAAUUAGAUAGUCAAUUCAAAAGAUAUUAAGUCAUUAGUUAACAAUUAUUUUUUUAGAUAAAGGAAACAUAAUGGAAGCUGAACAAUAGUUUCUAUGUAUGAGAAUGUCUCAGAGAGUAUCUUAAUUUGCUUGUUAAUCCAGUCACAAGAAUUCAUAGUGUUUGAUUUCUUGUCACCCAAAGAGAAUUUUUCUAGACAUUUCAGUGAUGGAGUCAAGUACAUACUGCAUUAAAUAUUUUUUAAUUUUUUUAAUGUUUAUUUAUUUUUGAAAGAGUGAGAGAAAGACAGAGUGGAAGCAGGGAAUGGGGCAGAAAGAGAGGGAGACACAGAAUCUGAAGCAGGAUCCAGGCUCCUAGCUGUUAGCAUAGAGCCUGACACGGGGCUUAAACUCAUGAACCGUGAGAUUAUGACCUGAGCUGAAGUUGGAUGCUUAACCAACUGAGCCACCCAGGUGCCCCUGCAUUAAAUAUUUUUAAUGGUGAAAUUAUUGCAUUUCAAGUUCUUAGAAUUUUAAUUGUUAAUAUUCAUAUUACUUUGGUCUGUUCAUUUCUGUUUAAAGGGAGAUCCUAGUUUUGAUGAAUGAUGCUUAGAAUUCUUUGGAGAAACUUUGACUAGGUCUUAGAACAAAUAACUUUGUAUACUAUUCUAUUCCAUGGAACAAGUAUACUUUUUUCUUGUCAUGGUCAAUGAAUGUAUGUAAUUACAUAUAACCUCUUAUCAAUAAACACUGAAUAUAAAAGUUUUUUUUCUUUUUCAGUUCCUCUGAUUGUCCUUGUGGUUUGUAGGUUGGAAGUUAAGAUAGUAAUUUCAUGGAAUUCUUGCCAUCUCACCAAAGAACAGUUGAUUUUGUCACUUUUACCAGCUCUCUUAUCUGAGAAGAAAUGCAAUGAUGCACUCUCAUGGUAGUUCUGAAAAUUUGAGAAAUGGUUGUGCCUACACAUGAGCCAUUUACACAUUUGUCUGAGCUGCAUAAUUUUCUCAGUGAUUAUUGAUUCCUUGAGGGCUGUUAGAUGGUCAAAAUUAAAAGAGAUUAUGGAUUUUUGCCUUUCUUUUCUAUGUUAUGUGAUAACAAAUAUAUGAAAAUUAAGCAGUAGGUAUGCAUUUUGUCCCAAUAAUACUGAUAUUCUUUUAAGGAACUAUAAUAAUCCAAAUGACAGUGAGAUUCUGUCUAUGCCAGCCAGCUAUUGAUUGUGUUUGCUGGUCUCUCUGACUUCAAAACAUGAUCACAGUGUCCAGUGAUGUCAGAAUCCUUAGUGUUUAGUUUCUGUCACCUAUUUCACGCUCAUAGUCAUGGUUAUAAACAUGCCUAGAUAAAUGAUAGCAUCAAUAAUUUAUCUGUUGGAAUAUAUGGAAAACAUGAGUGACAGAAGCACUUUUCUGAAACUGAGUUCAAGACAUAUAAAGGCUAUAUAACGAAGUUAGUGUUAACCUGAAAUUAUGAUAAUUUAAAAUAUACUUUAUAAAGAGUAGGAUGAGUCCUCAAUAAUAACUCAAAAAUAUUAAAAGAAGUACAAAGAAUUUAAACAGUGUAAUAGGAAAAAACUUACUUAAAACAAAAGAAAGCAGCUAAGAAUGAACAUAGGAACCAAAAAGACGUAAGACAUAUCAAAAAAAGAAAAAUGGCAAACAUAAAUCCCACCCUAUGACUAUUAUAUUAAAUUUAAAAGACAGAAACUGAAAGAUUCCAUCAAAAAUUAAAUAGCUAUAUAUUAUUUAUGAAAGAUACAAUUUAGAAUGAAACACAAAAACAGUUUGAAACUAAAAUGAUGGAUAAAACUGUAUUACUCAAGGAAUAUCCAAAAAGGAACUGGAAUGGCUAUUCUGACAUCAGAGAAAACAGACUUUAAUGUAAACUAUUAUUAGAAAUGAAAAAGAAUAUUAUAUAGUAUUAGAAAUGAAAAAGAAUAUUAUAUAGUGAUAGAUGGUUUAAUUAGAUAGAUGAUAGAUUGGUAGAUGAUAGGUAGAUAGAUAGAUAGAUAGAUGAUAGAUAUAAAACAUAAUCAGCUAACCACAGUGCCUCAAAUAACAAAGGAAAAACAGACAUGGUUGAAGGGAUAAGUAGAUAGUUCAGUAAUAAUAACUGGACACUUUAGUACCUUCUUCUUAAUAAUUGACAGACCAAUUAGAGAAUCAGUGUGGUUAUAGCAUACUUGAGCAAUCUUACCAAUAAAUUUGAUCUGAUACACACACACACACACACACACACACACACACUCAGCAACAGCAGAAAACAAACUAUUUUCAAAAACAUCUGGAGUAUUCUCCAGCAUAGACCAUAUGCUACAUCAUACAACUAGACUCAAUAAAUUUAAAAAUAUUAAAAUCAUGUAAAGUAUGGUCUAUAGCCAUAGGGGAAUUAAAUUAGAAAUCAAAACAAAUAAAUCUGGGAAAUCACCAAAUAUUUGAAAAUUAACAUACUUCAAAGAACCAAUUGGUCAAAGAUAAAAUCAUGAAAAAAAAAACUAGAAAACAUUUAGAAUUGAAUGGGAUACAUAAAAAGAGAUGCUUAGAAGAAAAUUAUAGUUUUAAAAAAAAUUUUAAGGGGUGCCUGGGUGGUUCAGUCAGUUGGGUUUCGGACUUUGGCUCAGGUCAUGAUCUCAUGGUUCAUGAGUUCGAGCCCCCCGUUGGGCUCUGUGCUGACAUCUCAGAGCCUGGAGCCUGUUUUGGAUUAUGUGUCUCCCUGUCUCUCUGUCAAAAAUAACCCUCCCCUGCUCACACUCUGUGCCUCUCUCUCUGUCAAAAAUAAACAUUAAAAAAUUGUUUUAAGUUUAUUUAUUUUAAGAGAGACAGCACGAGCAAGUGAGGGGAAGAGAGAGGAAGAGAAAGAUAAUCUGAAGCAAGCUUUGUGCCAUCAGUGCAGAGCCUGGUGCAGAGACUGAUUCAGGGCUCAAAUUCACAAAAUGUGAGAUCAUGACCUGAGCCAAAAUCAAGUUGGUGGCUUAACCAAAUGAGCCACCCAGGUGCCCUAGAAAAUUUAUAGUUUUAAAUGACUAUCAGAAAAGAGUAAAUAUAAAUACAUCAAAUAAAUAACCUAAACUUCCGCUUUAAAAAAUAAGAAAAAGACUAAACUAGAAAAUCAAGUGAAAGGAAGUAAAUAAUAAAUAUUUGAGCAAAAAUCAAUGAAAUAAAAACAAAACCCAGAAUUACUAGGAAGAAAACCCAUGAGACCAAAAAUUGGAUUUCUGCAAAGAUUAAUGAAACUGACAAGCUUUAGUUAAACUGAACAAGAAACAAAGUGAGAAGACAUAAAUAACUAGAGUUAGGAAUGAAGGAGGGGCAUCACUACUGACUGUGGACUCCAUUAGAAAUGUUAUUUGUCUCGUGUUUUCUUGAGGGGAGAUGGAUAUGGAAGAAUCCAAGGUUUUAGUUGCACUUAAGACUCAGCAACUAAACACUGAUACUUAGAUUUCCAUCGUCAACAACGGUUAUCUCUGCAAAUCUUCCAGAAGUUCCCUUGACAAUAUAAUAUCACUCAUUCAUAUUUAUCUAUGUUUUUAGCCAAUAUUUAACUAGUCAAUAAUUUAAUCUAUUUUAUGAGAACUUUUGUAAUCACAUCACAUGUAUACAUUAAUAAUAUGGUGAGUCCUCCAUGAUUUUAAUUCCUGUGUAUUCUAGAAUUUUUGACAUUUAUGUGCUUAGCCCAAAGCAUAAAGGCAUAGUUCCUUUUUUGGGCAUAAAGAUUAUAUUGGACCAAAGUGAGAUAUGUGAUUGAGAGAACAUCUCUGAGCCCUCAGUAGUGUGUCCUGUUGAGUAUGAGCAUCAGAAGAGAAUGGGAAACUACCCCAAACACAUUUCAUAAUAAGCUGGAAGACUCUAUAUGCUCCCUACCUGUUUAGUUAUUUUUCUCCAAUUACUAUACACCAUGAUUCUCAACAUAGUUGAUGUCAUACUUCUGAGGUGAAAAGUAAUUCUUGGGAGCAAAAGAAAUCUUAAAUAUUAUAGUGGUUUAUGGCCCUCCAAACAGUCACCAUUCACAUACACACAUAAGCAGAUAUACAGAAUAUUUGUGGUAUUAAAAUUGGGGGGGGGGAGGAUUGAAAACUAGGGGAAAAUGUCUAAAAAGGAUAUCCAAUCACGUGAUAAAAAAAAAGGUUGAGACACACUGUCAUACAAGUCUAAAGAAAUUAAUAUAUUUCUGUCAUCUAACUGUGUAACAAUCAAGUGUAAUAGAAGCCAGAGCAGUCGCUAUACUUUGCCAAGAUUUCCUCAGUAGUAACAGGCUUUGCAGAGACAGUAAUUUUAGAAGAUUGUGUUUCUUUUCCCAUUUAGACUCACCUAAUAUCUUUCUCUUCCAUGAUACAUUAUCCUAACUUAGAUCUUAAUACUUUUUGAAGAACUGUGUCUCUAUGGUUCCUUUGAAGGGAAAGUCUACUUGUCUUCCAUUAGGACUUUAAGAAAAGUCUAACGUCCAUAUUCAUGUAUUUUCCAACAGCAAUUUUCAGGACCAAAUUUACUCUUAAACGAGAGAAUUAUGUAUGCACAGUGAUAUACUAUUACUCUGGCCCCAGGAUUUAUAAACCUUAGUUCAGCAGGAGCCAAAGUUCUAUUGGAAACAAAUUAUCUAGAGCUACUAACAUGUAUGCCAAUGUAUGAUGAAAUAUGUAGAUCUUAUAAAAAUAGCAUCUUUAAAAUAUCUGUAAUUGAAAAUUUAGGUAAGAUUAUUUUGGGGAAAAUAUGUUUGAAAAUAGAAAUAUAAGCUGCUACAUUAUGAUAAAUGUUUCUAAACUUGUCAGGAAACAGGAAAUGAAAUAAGACGAUAUUACAUCAGCAUGUUUAUAUUCUGAAGACAAAAGCAUGUUUUAACAAUUAUGUUUUUUGCCCACUUUUUUCUUUAAUGUAAAUUUUAAAAUUUUAUACCUUUACAUAAAGCUAGUAUUUCAAGAUAUUUUAAUGGUUGACAUGAUGAAAAAGAAACCUAAAUACAUUUGAUUAAAGUUGAGAUAUGGUGUUCUGCAGAUGACUUCAGAAAGACAUUGUUAGGACAUUGCUUUAGGAUACACACAAUUCUUUAUUUUUUACUGAGUAAUCAGCAAAUUUGAGAUCAGAAAAUCAAAUGUAAGCCAUUGUUCUGUGCAUUUUUGAGGAUACUCUGAAUAUAUUAAUGAAGUGUGCUCUUCAUUUUAUAACACCUAUACUUUAUUGUUUUAUUGAAGUUGUUUAAAACUGAUGAUUUACAGUAUGAGCUUUCUUCACAAUCAUAGAUAAAAAUAUUGUAUUUAUGAAUUCUUUUAGAUGAAGAGUGGUUAGAACAUUUAUGAUUCUUGCACAGGAAUGUAUCCUUUCACGAGAUUAUUGCUUUGGAGUAAAUAUUAGACUGUUAUUAUAAAAGAGAUAUUUAGUUUAAUCCAAUCCUUCCAAAUAUUUACAUGUUAUUGACAUACAUAUUUUCUUCUAAAGAUGGUCUUGUGAAAAUUGAUAAGCUAGAAACAAUUUUCUUUUGCCAAUGGAACUGUGGGAGCUUCUCUUGGACUUCAUGAGAUGGUAAUAGAAAAACCAUGUUUUUAUUGAGAUACAUAUAUAAAUGUUUGAUAACAUUUAGCCCUUAAUAGAAAAAGAAUAUUUUACCUUGAUAAAAUAAUUACUAGCCAGCCAUUUUUUGGGUCUAUUCAAUGUCAGGUGGAAGGGAGAGCAAUGCAUGUUUGAAGGUUGUGCAUGUGACACACAAGAACUUAGCAAUAUCCACUCUUUCCAGUCUGUAUAGCACUAUACCCACAAUUUGUGCAUGUUUUAUUGUUAAAUUAGAUUACAUGUACAUGUGUUUGUGUAAUAUUUAAAAAUAUAUAGUUUAUAUGUACAUAUAGGUAAAAUUUAUACUAUGUAUGUAUAUUUUGUCUUAAAAUGUUAUUUUUCCUCUUGUUUUCCCCUGCCAGGUAAUGAUGGGGCCUAAAAGGGAAGAGAAAUUAUCUAUGCCUUUUCCUUUCUUGAAUUCUAUCUCCAGAGAGUAAGAUGAUAACUUAAUUUUAAGUCAGUGAUUCGCCAUUCCUACCUGUGGUCUUUUGGACACCCUUGCAGAAGAUCACUUCUUGGGAACUCAUUUGGAGUGAAUGAUACCAGUAAAUCCUUGAAACAAGACUCUUCAGACAAAGGGGCUGUUGUCCAAAUGCUACCCUCUGAAGGUGAUGACCACAAAUGUGAGGUGGAUUUAUUAUUGAGGGUACCAUUACUUCUACUACAAGCUUCACCAAAACAAUGAUACAGUCUUCUUUAUGCUUGGAGACUCGUCUCUUUCCUGUGUUGCAGUGGACACCUCCUGCAGAUAAGAAAUGCUUAACUGAGAAAUGCUCAUGUUGGGAUAUCAUCGAUGAGACUUUAAUUUGGGCAUGGUGACUGUUUCCCUUGCUGCCACUUGACUCAAUCCCAGGAGCCUCAGUAGAGGAAAUAUUAUUGCACAAGAAUCUCAAAAUGAUGGAAUUGCUCAGUGCUCCCAUAAAUAUACAUUUAUAAUUUCCAUUUGCCAUAUGGUAAAAUUUAAAUAUUGGAUAUAUUGAAAAGAAACUUUACACAAUUUUUUUUCAAAACUUCAAAGUGUAUCUAAAUAUCUAAUAUAUAAAUUAAGUUCCCUCCUCCCUCCCAAUUCUACCCCCCCAAAGUUUUCUUCUAUUAAGGGAGUUGUGUGCACUCUUUAAGUGGAUAGAUGCACACAUACAGUCACACAGACACAUACACACAAACUAUUUUGAGGGGUUCUGGAAGUAGGGCCAUAUUGUACACAUUCUUCUGCAAAUUGUUUUUAAUUUAACAGUUUUAAUACCCUUUUCUAUUUCAGUAAUACACAUCUGUGUCAUUUGUUGAAUGACUGCACGACUGUUUUGUAGGUGAAAUAUAAUUAAAUGUUAUAAGCAUUUCUCAUUCAUAGAUAUUUAUGUUAGCACCAAAUUUCUGUGCAAUGAAACUCCCUAUCAAUAAUUCUGCACUUGUCUAUUAUAUCAUAAUAAAUUACUUAGCAGUUCAAAUACUGGGAUUAAGGAUAUGCACAUUUCAAAUUAUUACAAGAUUUCCUUAAAAUGUGGUGACAACUUUAUCCUCAAAUGGCAAUGAAUGAGAUUGCCAGCUUUCCCCACAACUUCACAGAUAAUGGAUUUUAUAAAUAUUUAAAUUUUUUGCCAAUGUGAUAGCCCAAACUAUUGUCUUAAAUUGUAUUUCUUUUGUUUUUGAGUUUGAUCAUUUUUUCAUGUUUAUUAGCCAUCUGUAUUCUUUAAUUUCCUCUUUAUGUCCAAUUUUGGGGGUGGGGGUUUAGAUUUCUGGUUUUGAAGAGCUCAUUUAUUACUGGGAGAAUAAGAUUUGGAUUGUGAAGCAUUAUAGAUAUUUUUAUGCACUUUUAUACUUCAUUUUUGUUGUAAGAAUGUGUAUGAUUGUUAUAUGUCCAAGUAUAACCAUGUUUGCUUUUAUGGCUUCUGAGUUUCAUGUCAUUUUGGAAAAAAUAUUUAUACUGAUUUCAUAAAACCGUUCACCUAUGUUAACUUCUUAUUCUUUUGUGUUUCUUUUAUUCAAAUUCUUAAAUCAUGAGAAAUUUUUUUGAUUUGAAAUCUUAAAGUUGCCAAGUUAUUUGCCAUUACUUGCGAUUAUUUGCCAAUAAUUGCCCAUUUAUCUGUAAUGCCAUCUUGCACAUAUGCUGUAUUUCAUCUGUGACUGGCACCAUUUUUUUUCUGUGGAUAUGUGUGUCUCUUCUUCUGCCUCCUGUCUCAUGUGUCUUCUCGUUGGAAGAAAUUACAGUUUAGACUGCAAUUUCAUCACCUUAAGUAAAUUAAUUUAGGGGGAAUUAAUUUUUAGUAAUAUAAGUCUUCCUAUCCAAGGACAAGGUAUGUCUUUCUUUUUAUUCAGCAAUUUUAAUUACUGUUAACAUUUUCAAUUUGUGAUUUUUUUUCAGUUUAUUUUCUUAGUUGAUAUUUUUUCUAAAUCUGAAAAUUUUGUUUUGGGGGGGAAGGUGGUCACCUUAUUCUUCUCAUGACUUUUCAGAUUUUGUCAAAGUACAUACCAAAUCAUUUGCAAAUACUGAUCAUUUUGAUUCUCUCCUUCCAAGUGAUCUUGAUUUAAUUAUGUUGAUAAUGUUCACUGACUGGUACUUUCAGAGCACUUAAACAAAUGUGGAACUUUUACCCACCAUUGAUUUAAUCAAACCUUGGGUUUGACCAGUAUAUUGUUGCUGGUCUAUUAACCAAAAAGACUCCAAGAAAGAACGAUGAUCAAGAAAAGCUGAGUGACUAAGUAAACUUACUGCAGCAAGGGAAAACACCACUUUGACAACGUUUAGUAGUGUUUCAAAAGUAGGCUUUGGGGUCUGGGUUGAUGUGGUUUGAGGUGGGUUUUUCAAAAAAUGGAAAUGGUUAAGAAUGGACAAAAUUUGGCAUACAAUAGUUUAAGAUUGGUAAAAGAGUAACAUGAGGUCCUUGAUGGGAGUGUAGAUAAUCAAAAUUUUUGUCUGAUAAAUAAGCUGUUUGCCUACAUGAGUAAGAUAUUUUCAAUAAUAGAAGAGCUAUAGCUUAGAUGGGAAAACUGUCAAUGUAUUUAUUGGUUUGUAGUUCUAUCUUGUGUAUAGGACUCUGCUAGGGGUGGUAUCAGGUCCUAAACUUAAUAGGUAAGUUAUUUUUAUUUAGGUGGUCUCAAUCAUUAAUGCAAUAUUUGAAUUUUAAAUUUGAGAUAUUUUUGUGUAUCAUAUUAGGUAAGUUUCCCACCUUUUAUAUUUUUAAGAAAUUUCAUCAAAACCAGGUGGUAAUGUAAUAAAUAUUUUUUCCUAAAAAAAAUGUAUUAUUCUUCAAUUAAACUUCUAUUAUUGUGAAAUAAUUAUAUUAUUGAAACUUUAUUUUAUUCAUUGAAUUAAUAAUUUGGUAAAAAUGUUUUGGUAAAAAAUGUUUUGCUCUAAAUUUACUAAAUUAUGAAUAUCUUAAUUUGAUUUGGACUUUUUGCAAGUAUACUAUUAAAUGAAGUUGAUCCAUGAUUUUCUGUCCUAUUUUUGUCAUGGUUUUAUAUCAGAUUUUCUGGUUGUGUUAAAUUAAUUUUGAGGAUAUUCUGUGCUAUAGAAUGGGUUGAAAACCUUUAGCAUUAAUAUGAAUGGCUAAGUGAACACAUCAAUUAAAUAAUCUGAACUGUCCUUUCUUCUGGUGGUUUGAAGUAGAACUGAGGCUAUCUAUAAAAUUUUCUCACUUUUUUCUAUAGUGACUGUUUGUUUUAUGUCUGGCAUCUUAUAUUUAACUUGGUUUAUCCUAGAACAUCACAAUCCAAGCAGAUUUUCCAACAAAGUAACGUGAAGUUAUACAAAGGGUUCUUUCAUCACUCUCUUAAUUUCUCAUUUCAACUGAUACCCAUUUUCAUUCCAGUUUUUGUUUUGCUAUGCCUUUUUUUUUAAUGAAGUAAAUCUGACUCGUGGAUUUUUAACAUCAUUAGUUGAUCCUUUUCUUCUCCCCCAGUCAGCUUGUUGGUACAACUUAUCAGUGUGUUUUUUUAACUGUUUUAAUUUAUUUAUAUAUUUUUCUGUAGUUCUUUGCGUUUUCUAAAUAAAUUCUUAAACAUGUAUAAUCCACUUAUUCACUUGUUUUCUUUUGUAAUGAAGAUAUGUUCUAUUGUGAAUUU